AUUGAACGCUGGCGGCAUGCUUUACACAUGCAAGUCGAACGGUAACAGGCCGCAAGGUGCUGACGAGUGGCGAACGGGUGAGUAAUGCAUCGGAACGUGCCCAGUCGUGGGGGAUAACGCAGCGAAAGCUGCGCUAAUACCGCAUACGAUCUAUGGAUGAAAGCGGGGGACCGUAAGGCCUCGCGCGAUUGGAGCGGCCGAUGUCAGAUUAGGUAGUUGGUGGGGUAAAGGCUCACCAAGCCAACGAUCUGUAGCUGGUCUGAGAGGACGACCAGCCACACUGGGACUGAGACACGGCCCAGACUCCUACGGGAGGCAGCAGGGGGGAAUUUUGGACAAUGGGCGCAAGCCUGAUCCAGCAAUGCCGCGUGCAGGAAGAAGGCCUUCGGGUUGUAAACUGCUUUUGUACGGAACGAAAAGGCUCUGGUUAAUACCUGGGGCUCAUGACGGUACCGUAGGAAUAAGCACCGGCUAACUACGUGCCAGCAGCCGCUGUAAUAC
rnacentral:rRNA from 1 species